rnacentral:rRNA from 1 species
GGAGUCUGGGCAGUGUCUCAGUCCCAGUGCGGGUGACCAACCUCUCAGUCCACCUAGCCGUAAGCCUUGGUGGGCCGUUACCCCACCAACUAGCCGAUGGCACGAAAGCGCCUCCUCCGACGACCGGCCCGAAGGUCCCGGCCUUUCAACGCAACCCCAUGCGGGGCCGCGUUCGCAUCCGGUAUUAGCGGCCGUUUCCAGCCGUUGUCCCGAAUCGGGGGGUAGCUUGCUUUCGCAUUACUCGCCCUUCCGCCACUAUCAGGGGCCAAUAUUGCUACCAGCCUCUGACCGUUCGACUUGCAUGCCUCAUCCACGCUGCCAGCGUUCGUU